GCCGGGGUGGCGAAACCGGUAGACGCACCAGACUCAAAAUCUGGCGCUGACAACAGCGUGUCGGUUCGACUCCGACCCCCGGCACCA
rnacentral:tRNA from 1 species